UACGAAGGGGGCUAGCGUUGCUCGGAAUCACUGGGCGUAAAGGGCGCGUAGGCGGCGUGGUAAGUCACUUGUGAAAUCUCUGAGCUUAACUCAGAACGACCAAGUGAUACUGCUGUGCUAGAGUGCAGAAGGGGCAAUCGGAAUUCUUGGUGUAGCGGUGAAAUGCGUAGAUAUCAAGAGGAACACCUGAGGUGAAGACGGGUUGCUGGGCUGACACUGACGCUGAGGCGCGAAAGCCAGGGGAGCAAACGGG
rnacentral:rRNA from 1 species